CGAUACUCAUCGGGGAGCUAUUGAUCCUAUCAAUGAUAGGCGAAGCUGAGAUCGAGCCGACGCUCGGGACCCGUGUACCUGAACCAGAUAAUGCUGGCGUAGGAAUUGAGUUUGGACAAUCC
rnacentral:ncRNA from 2 species